rnacentral:rRNA from 1 species
CAAGCAGCGGAGCGUUGUUGGUUUUAAUUCGAUGUUACACGAAGAACCUUACCAGGGUUUUGACAUGCAAGUGGUAGGAAGCCGAAAGGUGACCGACCCUUCGGGGAGCUUGCACAGGUGCUGCAUGGCUGUCGUCAGCUCGUGUCGUGAGAUGUUCGGUUAAGUCCGCUAACGAGCGCAACCCUCGUCGUGUGUUAUACGUGUCACACGAUACUGCCGGUAUCAAGCCGGAGGAAGGUGGGGAUGACGUCAAGUCCUCAUGGCCUUUAUGCCCAGGGCUACACACGUGCUACAACGGGCGGUACAAAGAGAAGCAACCUCGCGAGGGUGAGCAAAUCUCAAAAAGCCGUUCUCAGUUCGGAUUGAAGUCUGCAACUCGACUCCAUGAAGCCGGAAUCGCUAGUAAUCGUGGAUCAGCAUGCCACGGUGAAUACGUUCCCGGGCCUU